CAGUCGCCGCGGUAAUACGGAGGGGGCUAGCGUUGUUCGGAAUUACUGGGCGUAAAGCGCACGUAAGCGGCUUGGUAAGUUAGAGGUGAAAGCCUGGAGCUCAACUCCAGAAUUGCCUUUAAGACUGCCGAGCUAGCAGGUGAGAGAGGUAAGUGGAAUUCCGAGUGUAGAGGUGAAAUUCGUAGAUAUUCGGAAGAACACCAGUGGCGAAGGCGGCUUACUGGCUCAUACUGGACGCUGAGGUGCGAAAGCGUGGGGAGCAAACAGGAUUAGAUACCCCAGUAGUCCCUGUCUCUUAUAC
rnacentral:rRNA from 1 species